rnacentral:rRNA from 1 species
GGGAAGUGCGGGGGUGCUUACACAUGCAAGUCGAACGAUGAAGCCUUUCGGGGUGGAUUAGUGGCGAACGGGUGAGUAACACGUGGGCAAUCUGCCCUUCACUCUGGGACAAGCCCUGGAAACGGGGUCUAAUACCGGAUAACACUCUGUCCCGCAUGGGACGGGGUUAAAAGCUCCGGCGGUGAAGGAUGAGCCCGCGGCCUAUCAGCUUGUUGGUGGGGUAAUGGCCUACCAAGGCGACGACGGGUAGCCGGCCUGAGAGGGCGACCGGCCACACUGGGACUGAGACACGGCCCAGACUCCUACGGGAGGCAGCAGUGGGGAAUAUUGCACAAUGGGCGAAAGCCUGAUGCAGCGACGCCGCGUGAGGGAUGACGGCCUUCGGGUUGUAAACCUCUUUCAGCAGGGAAGAAGCGAAAGUGACGGUACCUGCAGAAGAAGCGCCGGCUAACUACGUGCCAGCAGCCGCGGUAAUACGUAGGGCGCAAGCGUUGUCCGGAAUUAUUGGGCGUAAAGAGCUCGUAGGCGGCUUGUCACGUCGGAUGUGAAAGCCCGGGGCUUAACCCCGGGUCUGCAUUCGAUACGGGCUAGCUAGAGUGUGGUAGGGGAGAUCGGAAUUCCUGGUGUAGCGGUGAAAUGCGCAGAUAUCAGGAGGAACACCGGUGGCGAAGGCGGAUCUCUGGGCCAUUACUGACGCUGAGGAGCGAAAGCGUGGGGAGCGAACAGGAUUAGAUACCCUGGUAGUCCACGCCGUAAACGUUGGGAACUAGGUGUUGGCGACAUUCCACGUCGUCGGUGCCGCAGCUAACGCAUUAAGUUCCCCGCCUGGGGAGUACGGCCGCAAGGCUAAAACUCAAAGGAAUUGACGGGGGCCCGCACAAGCAGCGGAGCAUGUGGCUUAAAUUGACGCACGCAACGCGAAGAACCUUACCAAGGCUUGACAUAUACCGGAAAGCAUCAGAGACGGUGCCCCCCUUGUGGUCGGUAUACAGGUGGUGCAUGGCUGUCCUCAGCUCGUGUCGUGAGAUGUUGGUUUAAGUCCCGCAACGAGCGCAACCCUUGUUCUGUGUUGCCAGCAUGCCCUUCGGGGUGAUGGGGACUCACAGGAGACUGCCGGGGUCAACUCGGAGGAAGGUGGGGACGACGUCAAGUCAUCAUGCCCCUUAUGUCUUGGCCUGCACACGUGUUACAAUUCCCGGUACAAUGAGCUGCGAUGCCGCGAGGCGGAGCGAAUCUCAAAAAGCCGGUCUCAGUUCGGAUUGGGGUCUGCAACUCGACCCCAUGAAGUCGGAGUUGCUAGUAAUGGCAGAUCAGCAUUGAGGCGGUGAAUACGUUCCCGGGCCUUGUACACACCGCCCGUCACGUCACGAAAGUCGGUAACACCGGAAUCCGCUGGCCCAACCCGUGUAUGAGUGAGCUUUUAAGCCGUCCGGGUUAUCGGUCGAAGUAGAACUACGAGCAUUUCCCA